AUGAAGCUGAUGCUAGUCUUGGAAUCUAGAAAGAAACCCAAGAAAGCAAUAUGGUGCCCCAUAGCCCAACACGAAGAUGACAUUAUACCUGGAUUGGCCAUAGGUGUUUAUAUUUCCCCCACAAUUGUUGAUGCCAAGAAAAAAGUUCUUCAUUGUUGAGAGAUCAAAUCAGAUGGGAGUGUUUCAGAUGUACACCCUAUAAAUCUGAUAUCUGGGUGUUUGGAGGCACUGGCUAAUCCAAAUUUUCUACAAGUCCUGAAUUCUGAAAGCAGGAGCUCGGUCAUGCCUGAGAUGAUCAGUCUCUACUCCCACUCUCACUCCCAUCCCACCCCAAAAUACUCCACAUAUCAUCAGAAGCCACUGGAAACCACCUGUAUGUUUUUGGUGAAGAGUGAAGAACCUAGCCCCUGGAGCAUGGAAGCCACUUGUGUUUGGCAUAAACACUGACCCAUUAUCAACCAAAGACCUAUAGAUAACCAUCUUUUCCUGGGAUGACCACAUGAUGAUGGCAGCAGGGACAAAGCUCUUCAUUCAUAGAGGGUCAUCAGGUGAAAAAUUCUAUGAUGAUCUGCAUUUCAUUGAUGUAAGUGGCAUAAAGUUGUAGAAACUGAGUCCCAUUGGGGCCAUUCCCACAGGAUGUGUCACACAUUUAGCUGUGGUUGUGAAGAAACGUACGUAUAUCGUUAGAAGAAAUGACUUUCACAGGAGCACUAGGCUCAAUACUAACAUUACAUAGGAAAGCAGAAUUGGACCCUGCUUAAAUUUGGCAUCUCCUUCCCCAUCCGCCCUGUACAAUUGACCAUCUAAUGAAUAUAAUUCCAAGGCUGGUAAUAUCUACAUCAGAGAAAUAAGAGUCAAUUUCUGUCAUUGUAAGCUGUGAAACUAAGAAAGAGGACUUUGCUGACAACGCAAGGCUGUGAUCCACCUGAAGAAAGCCAGACUGAUACACUAUUCUGUUUUGUGUUUGAUGGAAUGGAUACAGAAUAGGAAAUCUAUAAUGAGCAUGUUAUAACAGUAGUUGACUAG
rnacentral:lncRNA from 10 species